rnacentral:tmRNA from 1 species
GGGGGCGACAUGGUAUCGACAGAGAUUCUGAACCCUUGAGUGCAUGUCGGGCAGGUACGCCCGUUAUCCAGGCCAAAACAAUAGUCGCAAACGACGAACUAGAACUAGCUUACGCUGCGUAAGUUACCCUGCUCUUGAGGUGUCCAUCCAUCGAGAAUCCAGGGUCAAAUAGAUGGAAUCGCCAUUCUGAGAGUCGUGACUCGUGCUAGCAGAGGCUAAAUAGUAACGAAUCGACCUAUCGAAUGCCUUGUCCGUUUGGUGUUUGGUAGGUGCUAUUUUAACGGACUAAACAUGUAGAGCUUCUGGCUGAUGGUUUUUGGACGCGGGUUCGAAUCCCGCCGCUUCCACCA